rnacentral:rRNA from 1 species
GACGAACGCUGGCGGCGUGCCUAAUACAUGCAAGUCGAGCGAACGGACGAGAAGCUUGCUUCUCUGAUGUUAGCGGCGGACGGGUGAGUAACACGUGGAUAACCUACCUAUAAGACUGGGAUAACUUCGGGAAACCGGAGCUAAUACCGGAUAAUAUUUUGAACCGCAUGGUUCAAAAGUGAAAGACGGUCUUGCUGUCACUUAUAGAUGGAUCCGCGCUGCAUUAGCUAGUUGGUAAGGUAACGGCUUACCAAGGCAACGAUGCAUAGCCGACCUGAGAGGGUGAUCGGCCACACUGGAACUGAGACACGGUCCAGACUCCUACGGGAGGCAGCAGUAGGGAAUCUUCCGCAAUGGGCGAAAGCCUGACGGAGCAACGCCGCGUGAGCGAUGAAGGUCUUCGGAUCGUAAAACUCUGUUAUUAGGGAAGAACAUAUGUGUAAGUAACUGUGCACAUCUUGACGGUACCUAAUCAGAAAGCCACGGCUAACUACGUG